GAGACUCUGUGCGCGUGCAUAUCAAUAAGCGGAGGAAAAGAAACUAACAAGGAUUCCCCUAGUAACGGCGAGUGAAGCGGGAAGAGCUCAAAUUUGAAAUCUUAAAGGGUUUCCCUUUACGAAUUGUAGUUUAAAGAAGUGUUUUCUGUUGGAGUUUCGGUAAAAGUUCUUUGGAAUAGGACAUCAUAGAGGGUGAGAAUCCCGUAUUUGACCGUUACUUUCCAGCUGUGUGAUACACUUUCAAAGAGUCGGAUUGUUUGGGAAUGCAGUCCAAGAUGGGUGGUAAAUUUCAUCUAAAGCUAAAUAUUGGCGAGAGACCGAUAGCGAACAAGUACCGUGAGGGAAAGAUGAAAAGAACUUUGAAAAGAGAGUUAAACAGUACGUGAAAUUGUCAAAAGGGAAGCGUUUGACACCAGUGUUGUUUAGUUGAAAAUCAAUUCAAUAAUUUUUGAUUCUGAGUAGUAUUGACUUCAUCAGCUUGCUGCUUUCUUCUCAGAAAUUAUUGAAUGCACUUUUCAGUUAACAAGUCAACAUCAAUUUCUUUUGUUGUAAAAGGGUAAGAGGAAGGUGGCUUACGCUUCGGCGUCAAGUGUUUAUAGCCUUUUAUCUCUGCAAUCGGAGAGAUUGAGGUACUAGCAGCGUAGACUCCUUCGGGGUUAGAUACACUUGUGCUAAGCUAUAGCCUUGUAUAGACAACUUGUUGACUAUGCUCAGUCAUGUAGCUUACUCGCUGAUGCUAUUUUACCUACGCUUAGGAUGUUGAAGAUGUAGCACAUCAU
rnacentral:rRNA from 1 species